rnacentral:rRNA from 1 species
GACGAACGCUAGCGGCGUGCUUAACACAUGCAAGUCGAACGAUGAAGCCUAGCUUGCUAGGUGGAUUAGUGGCGAACGGGUGAGUAAUACGUGAGUAACCUACCUUUAACUCUGGGAUAAGCCUGGGAAACUGGGUCUAAUACCGGAUACGACCAAUCUCCGCAUGGGGUGUUGGUGGAAAGCGUUAUGUAGUGGUUAUAGAUGGGCUCACGGCCUAUCAGCUUGUUGGUGAGGUAACGGCUCACCAAGGCGACGACGGGUAGCCGGCCUGAGAGGGUGACCGGCCACACUGGGACUGAGACACGGCCCAGACUCCUACGGGAGGCAGCAGUGGGGAAUAUUGCACAAUGGGCGCAAGCCUGAUGCAGCGACGCCGCGUGAGGGAUGACGGCCUUCGGGUUGUAAACCUCUGUUAGCAGGGAAGAAGAGAAAUUGACGGUACCUGCAGAGAAAGCGCCGGCUAACUACGUG